rnacentral:rRNA from 1 species
GUUAGGUAAUCCCUUAUAUCAACAAAGGUACAAACAAAUGUUUGUAUUCGCUCUAAGAAUUUUUUAUCUCGUGUAGUAGUAGUUAAGGUAAACUAGAACUAGCUUUAUAGAAUACACGUAGUCGAAACUGAAAGGUUGAUCGAUCACAAUGUGGCCUGAACAAAGCCCAUGACAAUAGUAGCAGCAGUGAGGAAUAUUGGUCAAUAGCCUAACGGCUGAACCAGCAACUUGGAAGAAUGUAAGGCAAUAGCUGACUGCAUAAUAUUAUUAAAUGAAUGCUAUUCUUUUAAUUUUAUAUAAUGUAGUUACUACUAGGUAAUUUAAUUUUCUAGGUAGAAUUAUGAUGAUGACGUUAUCUAUCUAUAAGUCUUGACCAAAUUACGUGCCAGCAGUCGCGGUAAUACGUAGAAGACAAGUGUUAUUCAUCUUUAUUGGGUUUAAAGAGUACCAAGACGGUUAAUAAAGCCCAGAAUACAUGAACACGGGGGACACAUUGACUAGAGUUAUAUGAAAGGAAGCUCUAAGGUACUGUUGAGUGGAGAGAUAAAAUUCUUUGAUACCAGAUGAGUGGCACAGAUUUAUGCGAAGGCAUCUUCUUAUGUAAUAACUGACGUUGUAGGACGAAGGCUUUUGA